rnacentral:rRNA from 1 species
AAAUGACUCUUGGCAACGGAUAUCUCGGCUCUUGCAUCGAUGAAGAACGUAGCGAAAUGCGAUACUUGGUGUGAAUUGCAGAAUCCCGUGAAUCAUCGAGUCUUUGAACGCAAGUUGCGCCCGAAGCCUUCUGGCUGAGGGCACGUCUGCCUGGGCGUCAUGA